UCAUUCCAGCGAAAAAAAUAACCAGCGCACAAGCCAUGAGUCCAGUAGGGAUACUAAAGCCGAUGAUCCAGCUGACUUGAUCCUGAAUAUACACAACGACGGUCUGUGUAAUAAGCAGAACCACAGUGAAAGUCAGGUAAUACCAGUUGAAGAAACUAGCCACUCCAUUAACACCUUCCUCUGUUCGUUGGUCAAACUGGUCAGCUCCAAAAGGGAUGCUACAUGGCCUUAUUCCUCCUGUCCCUAUUGAAAGGAAAACGAGACCUAAGAACAGAGUCCCGAACUGGAGCUUGUUCGGGCCGCUGCAACUGACUGGAUCUUUGCUAAUGCAUGUUGCUGGGUGGAGUUGAGGAAGCGAUGCUGUGAGUGUCAAUGUCACUAGUCCCUGCAGAUAAUUUAAAAUUACUGAUUAAACAUUACUAAACAACUCAUCAUUCAUUUUUGAAACUGAUUCUUCAUUAGUUAUGAUGAUCAAUACCUUGAAUUGAAUUGAUAUGAUUGUUAGUUACUUUUGAAAAAGCAAACAAUAAUGUGGGAUAGAUUGAAAUUAUGCGAUCGAAUACAAACAAGCAAACAAUUAGUUAAUUAACUUAACCAUAGCCUUAAUAAGUUUUGACUUCUCAUGGUUAAAAGUAAUACUGGGAAACAAUAUUGUGGUACAGAUAUUGACGUAUGACAUCAAAUACUAACAAACAAAAAAUUAAUUAUCUUAAUUAAGACUAGCAUAAUUGGCUUUGACUUCACUUGAUAAAAUGGUGAGAUUUCUUUGAUUAGGUACCGAGUUGGCGACAAACUGAUCACGACGUAGAACCUAAUAUCAUUUUUUUUGUUUAACCUUAAUAUAAUAAUAUGAGUAGUUAAUUGUAACAAUUUAAGUUCCUUAAUUUAAUUAACUAUGAAAAACAAAAAUAAAAGAAAAUAUAGGGGAAGUUAACAAUUGUAUGCGAUAAUAAUUCUACAAUAAUUAGUGAAAAUGACUUUAGAAAAGAAAGUAUCUUAGGUUACGUCAUUGUGAUUGACCAAAUCUACACAUCUUUACUUUCAGUUAGCUAUAUCAUUUGGAAAUUCAAUUAUUGGCCAUUUUCAUUAUCAAAUCGACCACUAGUGCAUUUUCUUCCUUUACACCCGUCUCUUUAUUUCCAAGAUAAAACUCCGUUCCAUUAGAGGAUUUGUUUACUCGAAACUGUGUUACCAAUUAAUCAAAGUUAUUUUAUUUGAAAAUAGUAUCUUAAAAACAACGUUUUCUGUGAGUUUAGCAAAAAAAAAAAAACGUUUUCUGUGAGAUAAAUAUAGUUCUCAUAUAAAGCUUUUUGGGUUUUUGUUUAUACACAUUAUAGAUCGACCUUAUCCCUUUUGAUAACGUGGUCCCUCUAUGUUUUCAUGCGUUUACGUACAAUACAAGAGCAAUAGCUAGAAGCAAAAUACUAUACAUGGGCACUAAAUAUUAGAAGGUUUUUAAUUGGUAUUAUAGCUUUGGUUGAAUAUUUUCAUAUUAUAUAAAAGUUUGUCCUAACGUGGUGACCUUAUGCACCAAGUACCAUAUGUAUCUUCACCACAAGAUCAUAUAUAGAGUAAUAAUAUAACCGUGUUACAAAAAAAAAGAGUAAUAAUAUAACCAUUUUUCUAAAUGUGAUAAAUUUAACUUCUACCUAGAGUUAGUAUGAGUUGAUAAAGUUACUAUUACUAAUAAUACUCAUACGUAGUGUGUAUUUGUAGACACAUUAGAUAAGAAUUUCAGAUAAAUAAGAAAUAAAUACGUACGAGGAGGGUGGCGAAUGACGCGAAAGCGAUGGUCUUGAAACGACCGACGUAAGCGUCUGAGAUAAAAGCGCCGACGAGAGGUGUGAGAUUGGUGAAACCAAACCAAAUGUUGAUGACAUUUGCAGCUUUGACUUGUUCUAAAUGGAACACUCUGGUUAGAUACACCAUGAAGUUUGACAACAACCCAAUCGUUCCCAGUCUCUCAAGCGUUUCAUUUCCUGUUUCAAGCCAUAUAUAUAUUAGUGUACUUCUAUUUUAAAAUUGUCAGAAAAUUUAACAAAUAAAAUGCGUUUUAAAAAUAAGGAAAAUGAAAGAUAUAUGCUUAAAAAGUUACAGUUUUUCCCCAAAUUUAAUGCUACAGUUUUCUUACCGUUUCCAUUAUACGAGUGUCAAACGAGAUGGACGAGUGUCAAACGAGAUGGACGAGUGUCAAACGAGAUGGACGAGUGUCAAACGAGAUGGACGAGUGUCAAACAUGUAACAUAUGUAAUAUGAGAUAAUUCUUCGGAGAAAAAAAAACAUAAAAACAAAAUUAUUAUAACUCUUGGUGGUGAGUUCGUGUUCCGGUUCGAAUAUUUUCAGAUUUCAGGUUAUCGAGGUUAAAUAUUUUAAUUCUAUUUGAAUAUUUCUAAUUUUUUGGGCUCAGUUUGGUUUGGUUUGGAUAAUCCGUUUAAAACUAUUUUUAUAAUGUAAAAUUCAUAUAUAGUAUACAGUUUUCAGAAUCUAAAGAUAAAAAUAAUAUGUGACAUGUAGUUGAAAUUAAGGACAUGUCAAGGAUGAAGUUAACUAAAAAAUAAACUACGUUCACGAACCAAAAAUAGAUAUACGUACCUAAAAUGAACGUGACGGCUCUCCAGCCUCCACGCUUUUUCUCAACCUUCUCAGCAUCCGAAAAAGAAUCAGACGGGCUUUCUUGAUUGUACGAAUCAACAGCAUCCAUCUUCGGCUGCGGUGGUGAAGAACCGUCCCUUCCAUCCAUCAAAACCAUCUCUAAGAUGUAUACAGGCAAAAAUACUUCGAUUUAAAGGGUGGAACUAAUGUUGGGAGAUUUGAUUCUCACUUUUUGAUGUAUAUCUAAAUAAAUAAAGGCAAUCACAUUAAGUGAUUGAUAAAUGUAGAGAGUGGGCUUAUCACUCGUACACUUUCUCUCUGUUAGAGGCUUUUUGGGGAGUAAUGUGGAAGUGUGUGUACAUAUGUAUAUAUAAGGGAGCGAGGAGAUCCAGAAUAUUAUAAGGUGGGUGUGGGUGAUAAUAUAAUAACACCAUUUAUAAAGUGUUAUUAUAGAAAAAAAUAUUUUAGAACAUCUCAAACAUUUUUAUUUUAUUUUAAAUAUUAUUAUUAAAAAAUCUACUUUAAUUCAGUUGUGUAUUAAAAUGAUUUUAUUAUAAAUUAAAUGAAUUAAUAGAAUUUAUGCUUAGAAUACAAAUAGAUACAACCACUAAUUCAAAGUAUUUAUUAAAGUAGACCAAAUUUAUUUACGUUUUCUUUACGAAAACAAUUGUAAAAUUUAUCUAGUGCAUAUAUUUGCUUAGAAUGAACCAUGUAAUCUCAUACGCCAAAACGUAAACAAAUAUAUAAAGUACCUGAAUUGGUUACUUCGGUGUAACUUGUGUAAAACGCUAUCUUUAACGGGAGGGUCAUAGUAGGUCACUGUGCCGUCAUCUUCCGCCGAGAGCUUCAUCUUUCGCUUAUUACGAGCUGCCACGAUAACUUGAGCGAUACUGGAGAAUAUACUUCCUUCAGGUUUAACAUAGAUGUAAAGCUUCAUUCCAGCGAAAAAAAUAACCAGCGCACAAGCCAUGAGUCCAGUAGGGAUACUAAAGCCGAUGAUCCAGCUGACUUGAUCCUGAAUAUACACAACGACGGUCUGUGUAAUAAGCAGAACCACAGUGAAAGUCAGGUAAUACCAGUUGAAGAAACUAGCCACUCCAUUAACACCUUCCUCUGUUCGUUGGUCAAACUGGUCAGCUCCAAAAGGGAUGCUACAUGGCCUUAUUCCUCCUGUCCCUAUUGAAAGGAAAACGAGACCUAAGAACAGAGUCCCGAAC
rnacentral:lncRNA from 1 species